rnacentral:lncRNA from 1 species
UUUUCAGAAGGCAGCCUGAGACUCAGCCUGCUAGGGCUGCAACUGCUCUCUCUCCCACAAAAUUGCAGCUUUUUGAGAAAAGACCUAUCCAUCUUUCUUUUCUUUAGCAACCUCUCGUCUCUCACAUGAUACAAAUCCCAUUUCCAGUCUAUAAAACUUUUAUUUUUAAAAUAUUUUUUAUAAAAAAUUAGAAAAAAUGAUUUAUUUAUUUAUUCACUCUUCUUUUGUAGCAGAGGAGAGCUCACUGACUACAAUUGACCAGUCCAGGCCAAAAAAACACAAUGCAAGUUCUAUUCUAGCAGGCUAAUAAUCUCGCUUGGGGGAGCCUGCAGGAGCCAGGAGGUCAUGUCCACCAGUCUCACUGUAGAUGGCCAAGCUCAAAAGCUUAUCCUAAACCCUGUUGGCCUCGUGAUAGCUGUGAAGCCUGCAGGAGCCUGGAGGUCAUGUCUACCAGUCUCACUGUAGAUGGCCAAGCUCAAAAGCUUAUCCUAAACCCUGUUGGCCUCGUGAUAACAGUGCUUCACAGCGAAGAAAUUUUAGCAUACCUAUGUACUAGUCGUUAUGAUAAUCCAUUUAUAUUUAAUAUACAGAAUUAAUAUAUAUAUAUAUAUAUAUUUUGUACAAAAAUAAUUUUGUUUUUCUGGUUUGUAGGUCUUUUAAUGAUAAUUUAUUGAUUAUAUUUUUAAUAUACCC